AAACCCCAGCAAACCCAAGCAGGAGCAGCAGCGCUCUUUUUUUCAUCGUUUCGUGAGCCCCGUCGCCAGCAACUUGGGGGGCGUGUGUGUGCGCGAGGCAGCUCUGUGAACGAUGAGGAGGCCGGUCGCUGGCGUAGUGGGUGCACCGCGUUGCGCCGGUGUUCUUGGCGGCGCCGCGGCGUUCCUCCACACACCAAGUCUUCUGCAACCCUUCCUGCGUGAUAGCACCGCUGCGGCAACGCGAACGCCUCGUCGGAGCCUCUCGUCCUCGUCGUCUUCGCCCUCCUCCGCUUUCAGUGGCUCUCCCCGUUGCGGCAGCGCUAACAGAAGCGCCGAGAAGGGCUUCGUCGGGUGGCUGAGACAGCUCUACCUCGACUUCCAGAUUUAUCGCGACCGCCAGCUCGACGCUGUGGCGGCCGAGGAGGCGCAAGCGGCCGUCGAGCAGCGCUUCUACGGGGACAGUGACGGCGCGUCUCUCUCCGCCGCUGCUGCGGCAGCCACAGCUACAACUCAUGGCGGGCAGGCCGGUGACACGCAAGCUCGCGGGCGCCGCUCGCCGCUGAUCUCGCGCAAUCCCACCCUGUGCCCACGCAGCGUCCUUUUCGUUCCAGGCUCGAAGCCGCGCGCCUUGGCCAAAAUUCCAACGCUGCCGGCGGAUUGCUUCAUACUUGAUCUCGAGGACAGCGUCGGUGCGGCGUCGAAGCGGCGGGCGCGCGAGAAUAUUCAAGCUUUUGUCGAAGACCUGCAGAGGGAGCAGCGCACACAGCGCGCCGCCCAGGCUACCGCCGCCGCCGCUGGGAGUGGUGAGGUUGCUGCCGAGGCGGGCGAUGCCUAUCCCCGCCUAAUUGUCCGCAUCAACUCACCGGACUACGACCCGGCGACGGCAAUACUGGACUUGCAGCUGGUAGGCCUGCUGGGCCCCGCCAUUGAAGGCAUUGCGUUACCGAAGACGACCGUGCGCACACAUCAGCUCAUCAAGGACUACGUGUACCCGUAUCAUCAGCUGUGGGCCUUCUUCGAAUCGCCGCUCUCCGUCAUACAGGCACCCCUUAUCUGCAAACAGCAGGUGUAUCAGUACGCCGUCAUGGGGUACAACGACCUAAGCGCCGAGCUGCAACUGCCCAUGGUCACACCCUCGACUCUGCCGGGUACUACCGACGGCAACUCCGUUAGCGAGGCCGGCAAGGAAUCCCUGCACACUGCGAUGCGGCUGCCGCUGUGGCAGAGCACCGUGCAGGUGCUGCUGGCCGCUCGUGCGCAUCACAUGUUUGUCAUCGAUGCUGUCUUCAACGACCCCACCGACAAGGCCGGCUUCCGCCGCAGCCUGCAGGAGUGCCGUCUGCUGGGCUUGGAUGGCAAGACACUCAUCCACCCGGUACAGAUCGAGCCCACCAACGCGGCAUACACACCAGCGGAGGAGGAGGUGGCAUGGGCGCAGCGUAUCGUCGAGGCGGUGGCACGCUCUGGAGGCGACGUGACCACAGUGGACGGCACUAUGGCAGAGGACUUGCACCAGCGGCAGGCAAGACAUGUUCUGGCGUUGCAUCGAAGCGCUGAGCUCGAGAAGACGCUCCGAAAGACCGAGGUGCCGCAAGGCACCGCUGACAUCUGCGUCUCUAAGGAAGCCGCGGAAGGCACCAGAGCGACUGGGGCGGCUGGAGGCGAUCGCAGCGAGACUGGCCGCCAGCCACGCCACACCCCCUCCCGGCAUCGUCAUGUGAGCUGAUGAUGACUGCACGCGGCGACUGAAGUGUUGAUGAAGCACACAGAGAAGCUUCCACGUCGCUCUCUAUCUGUGUGUGUGUGUGUGUUUCGGUUUACGUGCAUGCGCUCUUGCGCUCUUCAAACACUAAAUGGGGAGGGGCCAAGCGGGAGCCGAACACGCGGAGCGAAGAACGCUGGACUCGGUUAGCGGGCACCCACAGCGGAGUUUUGCCGCGCAUCGUAGCGCCUCAGACGCGCCCGUCACUCUGUCUCUCUCUCGCUCGCUCCCCUUUUCGUCCCUUACGGUCGUCGAGGGGGACAGUUCAC
rnacentral:misc_RNA from 1 species